rnacentral:rRNA from 1 species
AUGAACGCUGGCGGCGUGCCUAAUACAUGCAAGUCGGGCGAACGGACGAGAAGCUUGCUUCUCUGAUGUUAGCGGCGGACGGGUGAGUAACACGUGGAUAACCUACCUAUAAGACUGGGAUAACUUCGGGAAACCGGAGCUAAUACCGGAUAAUAUUUUGAACCGCAUGGUUCAAAAGUGAAAGACGGUCUUGCUGUCACUUAUAGAUGGAUCCGCGCUGCAUUAGCUAGUUGGUAAGGUAACGGCUUACCAAGGCAACGAUGCAUAGCCGACCUGAGAGGGUGAUCGGCCACACUGGAACUGAGACACGGUCCAGACUCCUACGGGAGGCAGCAGUAGGGAAUCUUCCGCAAUGGGCGAAAGCCUGACGGAGCAACGCCGCGUGAGUGAUGAAGGUCUUCGGAUCGUAAAACUCUGUUAUUGGGGAAGAACAUAUGUGUAAGUAACUGUGCACAUCUUGACGGUACCUAAUCAGAAAGCCACGGCUAACUACGUG